AUGUAUCCCCCUGGAAAGCUGAACGUCCCAGGACUUACAAAGAGGGAAGUUCUGACAAGCACACUCCCCUCCUCUCAGCCAUUCCAGAAGGAGGAAGAUGCCAGCUGCUCAGGCCCCACAGGGAUGGAAUCGCUGUCCCAGUCCUCCAGCGAGCGGUCAUCCCCUCGGAAGCAGUUUGCCUUUUCCCCCAGCACCUGGGAGAUCUGGCUCCAGUCCUGGCGGCUUGGGUGGCGGCGGCUUCCGGCGAUCGCCUGGCUGCUCCUCGGGGCGGCGACCUGGUUCGGCUCACGCGCGGCCCGCCCCAGCCUUCACCGCCGCAAACUCUGACGCCGGCAUAAGGGCCACGUGUUCUGAAAUUACUUUGAGACAAGAAGUUUUGAAAGAUGGUUUCCACAGAGACCUUUUAAUAAAAAUGAAGUUUGGAGAAGGCAUUGAGGACUUACAGAAGUGCUGACUCUUAAUUAAACAGUACAUUCCUACAGGACUUUUUGUGGAUCCAUAUGAGUUGGCUUCAUUAUGAGAGAGAAACUUAACAGAGACAAUGAUGGUUUUGGAAAUUUUUGAUAUAGAGGCCCCUAACUAUUUGUCCAAGGAAUCUGAAGUUCUCAUUUAUGCCAGACAAGAUUCACAGUGCAUUGAUUGUUUUCAAGCCUUUUUGCCUGUGCACUACCGCUAUCAUCGGCCACAUAGUAAAGAUGGAGAAACCUUUACUGAGCCAGAUUUGUUGAUGUAUUGUGACCAAGUGUUCCCGAUUUUGAAAUGUUGGGCCCACUCAGAAGUGGCAGCUCCUUGUGCUUUGGAGAAUGAGGAUAUCUGCCCGUGGAACAAGAUGAAGUAUAAAUAAGUGUAUAAGAAUGUGACUCUGCAGGUUCCACUGGGACUGACUAUACAUACCUCUUUAGUAUGUUCUGUUGACUCUGCUCAUUACAAUCCUGUGCUCUGCUUUGAUCCUUGUAACAGUUUUCAAAUAUGGCCAUUUUUCCCUAUAGGUUUUAUGUAGUUAAAUACUUCCUAGAAACCUAAAUAAGAUCUAUUAAAUUCUGAUGAGAGGUGUUCUUCUAGAAUUGAGCUAAUAACUUUUAUCAUUUGUCUUCAUUUGUGGCCAAAAUUAUGUUUACUAGAGGAAAUCUGGGAUCAUUCUCAGCUAAUUCCAAAAUUUAGUGCUCUAUUGCAUAGAUCCUCGGUAAUCCUCAAGCAUCAGAUGCCGUAAGAGGAAACUUAAUUCUGCUAAAUUGAUGUUUAUUUUGUGAGAAGUGACUUUAUAUUCAUUUGGGAUAGAAAAAUUAUUUCUUUAUGUAGUUGAGACAAAUUAUUCUCCUUUUGUGAAUACUUUCCAUUUAAGCUAAAAAUUGUGAAAACCAUACAAAUAAGAAUAAAAUAGGCCAGGCACAGUGGCUCACGCCUUUAAUCCCAGCAUUUUGGGAGGCCGAGGUGGAUGGAUCACCUGAGGACUGGAGUUAGAGAUCACCUUGGUGAAACCCUGUCUCUACUAAAAACACAAAAAUUACCUGGGCACGGUGCUGGGUACUUUUAGUCCUAGCUAAUUGGGAGAGAGAUAUGGGAGAAUCACUUGCACCUGGGAGGCAGAGGUUCCAGAGAGCCAAGAUUGCACCACUGCACUCCAGUUU